rnacentral:rRNA from 1 species
AUUGAACGCUGGCGGCAUGCCUAACACAUGCAAGUCGAACGGGGCAGCAAUGCCUAGUGGCGGACGGGUGAGGAACACGUAGGAAUCUGCCCUUAAGUGGGGGAUAACCAGGGGAAACCCUGACUAAUACCGCAUGAUCUCUUCGGAGCAAAGAGGGGGACCGCAAGGCCUCUCGCUUCUGGAUGAGCCUACGUCUGAUUAGCUAGUUGGUAGGGUAAAGGCCUACCAAGGCGACGAUCAGUAACUGGUCUGAGAGGAUGAUCAGUCACAGCGGAACUGAGGCACGGUCCGGACUCAUACGGGAAGUAGCAAUGGGGAAUAUUGGACAAUGGGCGCAAGGCUGAUCCAGCAAUGCCGCGUGUGUGAAGAAGGCCUUCGGGUUGUAAAGCACUUUAGCCUGGAAAGAAAAAACUUUGGUUAACACCCAAAGUCUUGACGGUACCAGGAGAAUAAGCACCGGCUAACUCUGUGCCAGCCGCCGCGGUAAGAC